AAGUAAAAGUGGUACCAAGGUUUCCGUAGGUGAACCUGCGGAAGGAUCAUUA
rnacentral:rRNA from 1 species